AGUCUAAGGUUUCCUGGGGAAGGUUCGUCCGCCCAGGGUAAGUCGGGACCUAAGGUGAGGCUGAAAAGCGUAGCCGAUGGAUAGCAGGUUGAAAUUCCUGCACUAUAGAUAUACUUAAAAGAUGCAAGGGACGCAGGAGUGGAAGAUAAGCGAGGAAGAGGAAAAACUCGUAUCGCAAGAUAUAGUGAAAAUAAAGUAACGAAUUAUCAAGAAGCACACUGACGAGAAAAGCUUGUAGAUAUUGUAUAUAAAUACCCGUACCGCAAACCGACACAGGUAGAUGAGGAGAGGAUCCUAAGACGAGCGGGAGAAGCAUUGUUAAGGAACUCGGCAAAUUGACCCCGUAACUUAGGGAGAAGGGGUGCCAAAGUAAAAUUUGGUCGCAGAGAAGAGGCCCAAGCAACUGUUUAACAAAAACACAGGUUUCUGCUAAAUCGAAAGAUGAAGUAUAGGAGCUGACGCCUGCCCAGUGCUGGAAGGUUAAGGGGAAGAGUUAGAUGUAAGUCGAAGCUUAGAACCAAAGCCCCAGUGAACGGCGGCCGUAACUAUAACGGUCCUAAGGUAGCGAAAUUCCUUGUCAGGUAAGUUCUGACCCGCACGAAAGGCGUAAUGAUUUGGGCGCUGUCUCGACAAUGUACUCGGCGAAAUUGUAGUACUAGUGAAGAUGCUAGUUACCUGCGACAAGACAGAAAGACCCCAUGGAGCUUUACUGUAGCUUGAUACUGGGUUUCGAUAAUUUAUGUACAGGAUAGGUGGGAUGCAAAGAAGCAAGUGCGCCAGCAUUUGUGGAGCAGACGUUGGGAUACCACCCUUAAGUUAUUGGAAUUCUAACCUGUAGUCAUGAACUGGCUAGGGGACAAUGUCAGGCGGGCAGUUUGACUGGGGCGGUCGCCUCCAAAAGAGUAACGGAGGCGCGCAAAGGUUUCCUCAGCGCGGACAGAAAUCGCGCAAGAGAGUGCAAAGGCAGAAGGAAGCUUAACUGAGAGACUGACAAGUCGACCAGAUACGAAAGUAGGUCUUAGUGAUCCGGCGGUAGUGAGUGGAAAUGCCGUCGCUCAACGGACAAAAGUUACCCUGGGGAUAACAGGCUUAUCUCCCCCAAGAGUUCACAUCGACGGGGAGGUUUGGCACCUCGAUGUCGGCUCAUCGCAUCCUGGGGCUGUAGUAGGUCCCAAGGGUUGGGCUGUUCGCCCAUUAAAGCGGUACGCGAGCUGGGUUCAGAACGUCGUGAGACAGUUCGGUCCUUAUCUGUCGCAGGCGAAGGAUAUUUGAGGGGAGUUGACCUUAGUACGAGAGGACCAGGUUGAACUUACCAAUGGUGUAUCAGUUGUCGUACCAACGGCACGGCUGAGUAGCUAAGUAGGGAAGGGAUAAACGCUGAAAGCAUCUAAGUGUGAAGCCCACCCCAAGAUAAGAUAUCCCAUACCGUAAGGUAGUAAGAUUCCACAAAGACUAUGUGGAGAUAGGUUGGAGGUGUAAGUGCAGUAAUGCAUGUAGCUGACCAAUACUAAUAAAUCGAGGGCUUAACCAC
rnacentral:rRNA from 1 species